GUGAGGAAUAUUGGUCAAUGGGCGAGAGCCUGAACCAGCCAAGUCGCGUGAAGGAAGAAGGAUCUAUGGUUCGUAAACUUCUUUUGCAGGGGAAUAAAGUGCGGGACGUGUCCUGUUUUGUAUGUACCCUGAGAAUAAGGAUCGGCUAACUCCGUGCCAGCAGCCGCGGUAAUACGGAGGAUCCGAGCGUUAUCCGGAUUUAUUGGGUUUAAAGGGUGCGUAGGUGGUUUGAUAAGUCAGCGGUGAAAGUUUGCAGCUUAACUGUAAAAAUGCCGUUGAAACUGUCGGACUUGAGUGUAAAUGAGGUAGGCGGAAUGCGUGGUGUAGUGGUGAAAUGCAUAGAUAUCACGCAGAACUCCGAUUGCGAAGGCAGCUUACUAAGCUACAACUGACACUGAAGCACGAAAGCGUGGGGAUCAAACAGGAUUAGAUACCCUAGUAGUCC
rnacentral:rRNA from 1 species